rnacentral:antisense_RNA from 1 species
UGUGAGAGCGGGCUUGCUCGCGAACGCGGUCUGUCAGAUACAUUUUUGUAACUGACCCACCGCUUCGCGAGCAGGCUCGCUCCCACA